rnacentral:rRNA from 1 species
ACGUAGGGGGCAAGCGUUGUUCGGAAUUACUGGGCGUAAAGGGCGCGUAGGCGGCACAGCAAGUCGGGAGUGAAAGCCCGGGGCUCAACCCCGGAACGGCUUUCGAAACUGCUGAGCUAGAGUGCGGAAGGGGCAACCGGAAUUCCCAGUGUAGCGGUGAAAUGCGUAGAUAUUGGGAAGAACACCUGAGGCGAAGGCGGGUUGCUGGGCCGACACUGACGCUGAGGCGCGAAAGCCAGGGGAGCAAACGGGA